UACGUAGGGGGCAAGCGUUGUCCGGAUUUAUUGGGCGUAAAGCGCGCGUAGGCGGCUUUGUAAGUCGAGUGUGAAAUCCCCAGGCCUAACCUGGGAACUGCAUUCGAGACUGACACGGCUAGAGUAUCGGAGAGGGAAGUGGAAUUUCAGGUGUAGCGGUGAAAUGCGUAGAUAUCGGGAGGAACACCGGUGGCGAAGGCGGUUCUCUGGGCCUUACCUGACGCUGAGGAGCGAAAGCAUGGGGAGCGAACAGG
rnacentral:rRNA from 1 species